CACGCCGUAAACGAUGAUGGCUGGGUGUUGGCGAUACACUGUCAGCGCCUGAGCGAAAGCAUUAAGCCAUCCACCUGGGGAGUACGAUCGCAAGGUUGAAACUCAAAGGAAUUGACGGGGGCCCGCACAAGCGGAGGAACAUGUGGUUUAAUUCGAUGAUACGCGAGGAACCUUACCUGGGCUCGAACGCCCACCGACGGCACCGGAGACGGUGCUCUCCAGCGAUGGCGGUGGGCGAGGUGC
rnacentral:rRNA from 1 species